rnacentral:rRNA from 1 species
UACGUAGGGGGCUAGCGUUGUCCGGAAUCAUUGGGCGUAAAGCGCGCGUAGGCGGCCCGGUAAGUCCGCUGUGAAAGUCAAAGGCUCAACCUUUGAAUGUCAGCGGAUACUGCCGGGCUAGAGUCCGGAAGAGGCGAGUGGAACUCCUGGUGUAGCGGUGGAAUGCGCAGAUAUCAGGAGGAACACCAAUGGCGAAGGCAGCUCGCUGGGACGGUACUGACGCUGAGACGCGAAAGCGUGGGGGAGCAAACAGG